ACAUGCUCUGUAUUGGCAAUUCUGUUCAAGAAAGGAGACCCGGAGAAAAACACCGAGGCAGCACCUUCUGGAACGUGUGUUUUGAGAAGUGCAUACAAUCAAGGGCAAAAUUUUGUAAAGUCGUGUCCGACCCAUCACGACCCCAUGGACAACAUUCCUCCAGUCCAGGCCUUCCUGUCAUCUACCCUCCUCUGGAGUCCAUUUAAGCUCACGCCGACUGCUUCAGUGACUCCAUCCAGGCACCUCAUUCUCUGUUGUCCCGUUCUUUUGCCCUGCUUUUCUGUAUUGCCUCUCAAACAUGUGAAGAUGGAAAUGAAAUCUGCAGUUGCAGGCAUUUGCUGCAGGGCAGAGGCCAGUCAGCCAGAUGUGCAACCAUGUGCAAAGACAUUGCAAUUGCAGAAACCCAUAAUUAAAGGAGAAGUACAAUUAUGCAAUUUAUGUUAAUGUAUUCAAUCAUGAAACAUUGGUUUUUUUUUUUUUUUUACAGUUUAUAUGCUACCUCUGUGCCCAAUAUACUUUUUUGGGAUUUAUUUAAUCUCUUGGCACAUUUUCUGAAAAUAUAAUUAUAGAUUUGAAGAAACGCAAAAAAACAAAGUACAAUGUGGAAUUAAAAAUGAAGUUGGCUACUACUGCACACUUAAAGAAUUGUAAAGCUAAUGGGAAAAUAUUUCAAAAUAUAGCAAAGAAUUUUCAAUGGUAAACUCAUACACUUGACCUAUCCACUUUAGGCCAGCUUGACAUAAAUGUGUAUCAAUGCAUUGCAUGGUCCUCCUAGUUUGUGAGAUGUAGGCAACCUUAUACUGGCUUGCAAAACAGUUUCUAGAUUAGAGACCCUCAUUUGUAUAGGAAAAACAUUUAUGGCUAAAUCUACAAGACUUGGCUUUUCCUCCGAGGUCUAGGGGAAGACUAGAUAAUCACGCUUUAGAACUCUGAUUUGACGCCAGGUUUUUGUUGUUUUUAAUAUUUUACUCUGUUUGGUUUUAUAGUUUUAAUGGGAUUUUAUGUGUCUUUUAGUCUUUGAUUGGAAGCUGCCCAGAGAUGGUUGAAAGAUGGGAGUCUCUCUCUCUCUUGCUCUCUCUCUCUCCUCCUCCCUCCCUCCCUCUCUCUCUCUCCCCCCUCUCUCUUCCCCUCCUCUCUAAGCAAAUUAUGUGCUGGUCAUCUCACAGAUGCGUAUAUACAUACAUACAUACAUGCUAAAACUAAUGGGUAUAUCCUUAUUGUUGGCAGAGAAUGCUGCAGGUGCAAUGAUUGAGGUAGUAUCUCAGCUGGCAGUAGCUUAAAAAAAAAAGCAUUGGAUGAAACACUCAAGUAAGCCAAACAAUAUUGGUGGCUGAAGUCAGUAUUGAUAGGUCUACCUGGUGCUUGCUACUUCUUAUUCCUUUUCUGCAAAUUACAUCAUUUUGCUGUUAUAAAUCAAUCAGAUAUUAAUGGUUAAGCUUGAGCAUUUCUUCUGGCCAAACAUCAAACAACUGGGGUUACUGAUUGUGUAUUUCUUUGAACUUCAGCCCUGUGGCUGUCCACUUGAUUGGGAAAUGGUACUUGCAGUUUCAAAGGUAGAUUUUGCAGCUAUAAAGUUUACAGAAUAGAAUAGAAUAGAAUAGAAUAGAAUAGAAUAGAAUAGAAUAGAAUAGAAUAGAAUAGAAUAGAAUAGAAUAGAAUAGAAUAGAAUUGGAAG